CACUCCUGCGGGAGGCAGCAGUGGGGAAUUUUGGACAAUGGGCGAAAGCCUGAUCCAGCAAUGCCGCGUGAGUGAAGAAGGCCUUCGGGUUGUAAAGCUCUUUUGUCAGGGAAGAAACGGUGAGAGCUAAUAUCUCUUGCUAAUGACGGUACCUGAAGAAUAAGCACCGGCUAACUACGUGCCAGCAGCCGCGGUAAUACGUAGGGUGCAAGCGUUAAUCGGAAUUACUGGGCGUAAAGCGUGCGCAGGCGGUUUUGUAAGUCUGAUGUGAAAUCCCCGGGCUCAACCUGGGAAUUGCAUUGGAGACUGCAAGGCUAGAAUCUGGCAGAGGGGGGUAGAAUUCCACGUGUAGCAGUGAAAUGCGUAGAUAUGUGGAGGAACACCGAUGGCGAAGGCAGCCCCCUGGGUCAAGAUUGACGCUCAUGCACGAAAGCGUGGGGAGCAAACAGGAUUAGAAACCCCUGUAGUCCCAUG
rnacentral:rRNA from 1 species